UUAGUACUCCCUCCGUCCCAAAAUUCUUGUCUUAGAUUUGUCUAGAUACGGAUGUAUCUAAUACUAAAACAUGACUUGAUACAUCCAUAUUUAAACAAAUUUAAGACAAGAAUUUUGGGACGGAGGGAGUACAUA
rnacentral:pre_miRNA from 1 species